GGCAGCAUGGCUUAGUGGAAGGAACACGGACCUGGGAGUCAGAGGAUCUGGGUUCUAAUCCCAGUUCUGCCA
rnacentral:tRNA from 1 species